GGCUCAGGAUGAACGCUGGCGGCGUGCUUAACACAUGCAAGUCGAACGAAGACAUCUGAGUGCUUGCACUUGGAUGGACUGAGUGGCGGACGGGUGAGUAACGCGUGGGUAACCUGCCUUAUACAGGGGGAUAACAGUUGGAAACGACUGCUAAUACCGCAUAAGCGCACGGUAUCGCAUGAUACAGUGUGAAAAACUCCGGUGGUAUAAGAUGGACCCGCGUCUGAUUAGCUAGUUGGUGAGGUAACGGCCCACCAAGGCGACGAUCAGUAGCCGGCCUGAGAGGGUGAACGGCCACAUUGGGACUGAGACACGGCCCAAACUCCUACGGGAGGCAGCAGUGGGGAAUAUUGCACAAUGGGGGAAACCCUGAUGCAGCGACGCCGCGUGAGUGAUGAAGUAUUUCGGUAUGUAAAACUCUAUCAGCAGGGAAGAUAAUGACGGUACCUGACUAAGAAGCACCGGCUAAAUACGUG
rnacentral:rRNA from 1 species